AGGGAAUAUUGCACAAUGGGCGAAAGCCUGAUGCAGCAACGCCGCGUGUGCGAUGAAGGCCUUCGGGUCGUAAAGCACUUUUCUGGGAGAUGAGAAAGGACAGUAUCUCAGGAAUAAGUCUCGGCUAACUACGUGCCAGCAGCCGCGGUAAAACGUAGGAGGCAAGCGUUAUCCGGAUUCACUGGGUGUAAAGCGCGUGCAGGCGGUUCGGUAAGUUGGGCGUGAAAUCUCCUGGCUCAACUAGGAGAGGUCGUUCAAUACUACCGGACUUGAGAGUGGUAGAGGAAGAUGGAAUUCCCGGUGUAGUGGUGAAAUGCGUAGAUAUCGGGAGUAACACCAGUGGCGAAGGCGAUCUUCUGGACCAUUUCUGACGCUCAGACGCGACAGCUAGGGUAGC
rnacentral:rRNA from 1 species